AAAGUAGAUUAUGCUCUAAUUCAUGAAUAAUCCACCCAAAGCAAUCCCCAACAUGAAGAUGUAUUCCUGUAUUUAUUGACCUUUUCAUGUUCUAAUACCUUCCACGUUUGGGAUACUAUUCACAGAACAUCUGUUUCCGUAUCUUUACAUUUUUAGGCAACUCGCUUGUAUUUUUGGGAAACAUCUUAGGAAACAAUGGUCACAUUUAAAGCUAAAAGGCUUGUAAGCCCCCCUGUUUUAAAGGUGUCGGAAAGUGGAAAGAAUAUGAUGUCAUUGCAAAUAUGUCCGCCCUUUAGGAAUCUCUGCUGUAGAGUGGACCUUACUGUUUCUUUUUUUUUUAAAGCUAUAACAUCACAUCUGCAGGGACUCAGGGAAAGUUGCAGAAUAGUGUGAAACAGGAAAGAGAAGAGAAAGUGGACAAAGUGUUCCUGUGUGUAGCUGUUGUGUCACAGUUCUCAGGGGCGAUCCAGGAUGGGAUGAUAAAACCUGUUAACUUUAUCUACGUGGAUGACAUGGCAACAACUCCAUCUAGCCCCUCCAGAACCUCAAGAGCUGAAUAGGAGUAAACCCAGCACACCUAAGAGUUCUGUUUAGGCUUGACGGAGAUUGAUCCAGCCUGCUCAUUAUCACAUGAAUACGAAAGCAUUUACGUUUAAAAACAACAUUUGAUUAUGGCGAGGAUGCAAAUCUUUUACUGCAAAACUCAUUCUUUUCUUGUAGUGGUUUAUUAUUUAACAGCGUUCCACAUCUUAGUUUAGUUUGUUUACAAAUUAGGUUGUAAGAGUAAUUAUCCAUAGUCUGAUUGCAGAUUGCUGUAUUUAGGACCUUCUAAGGUCCUAAAUACAGCAUAAACUUUAAGAUUGCUUUGUGUCAAGGAAUAACGCAUACCCCCAUUAACUUGCUCACAUUCUACUUAUGUUACAACCAGAAACUAUUUAUGAUACAUGGUUUUUAAAACUGCAUACAAGUAAAAAUCUGAAAAGUGCGGCUUGUGUUUAGCCCUCCUGAGCCAAUACCCGCCUUUUGCUGACUGUCAAAUAUGCAUAUAUCUAAACCAUUCAUCCAUUUUUUAUAUCGGCAUCUUCCAUACAGAGUUGCUGGUGCCUUUCUCCAGCGGCCUACGGGCAAAAGCCACAGUACACCCUGGAUAAAUUGCUAGUCCAUUGCAGGGCAACAGAGAGACACAUAGGACAAACAACCAUGCACACACCCACACAGAGCAAAUAACAGAGAGCAAUUAAGUGAACAGUCGUGUUUCUGGACUGUGCGAGAACCCUUGUAUGCACGGGGAGAACGUACAAACUCCAUGCAGAAAGACUCCUGGAAAUGAGUCGAACCCAAGACCUUCUUGCUGCAAGGCAACAGUGCUACCAACGGCACCACCGUGCAGCCCCUUGUAUCUAAACCAUUUCAUUGUAUUCUUGGAUGUAUAAUAAUGGGUCGUUGUUGUUAAGCUUCACCCCAGUGUCAAUGAUUAUUUAUUGUUUUUAGCUCCAUCCAUCAUCUCAUAAACUUAGACCAACUGCACUACCCUACCAUAAAGAAAGCAUCUCCAAAGUAUCUAGCUGCCAACAUCUUAUUUCUAUAUGAGAUGAUGUGUUCAGGAUGAUGUGCAAUGUUCAUUUUUAUGCUACACACAGCUUUUUGCAUUUAGGCCAAUUGGAAAUAGUCCAGUUGUGGUCUCACCUAACCAGAGCACCUUCUUCCAAAGGUAUGGUGCCUCCUUUACGUUGCCUGUCGCAAAACACAUACUUUGUAUGGCUUUCUUUCAGCUAUAGUUUUCCUUUUGCUAUUAUUUUAUAAGUGCCAGGUUUGUGGAUUGUAUGAAUAAUAGUUGUCAUUAUCAAGGUUUGGAUCUCUGCAGGUCUUCCAGAGUUACCAUGUCCCACUUGGCUGCUUUUCUGAAUAAUGCUCCUCUUACCCAACCUGUCUAAGUGGAUGGCCAUGUUUUGGUUGCUAUGUAGUGUAGUUGUGCUUGUUUCUUACCAUUUUGGAUAAUGGUUUGAAGAGUGCUACAUAAGAUGUCAAAAACCCACUUUAAAAUGUUUUGCAACUUUACUCUUGACCUGUCUGGUGUUCCUUGGUCUUCAUGAUGUUGUUUUUUCACCCAUUUAUUUAAUUCAAUAUCUUGGGCCUUUGUAGAACAGAUGUAUUUAUACCAGGAUUAAAUUAAACACAAGUGGACUCUAUACUAAUUAGGGGGCUGCUAAAGACCAUUAUUAGAACUGGGUUUUAUUUAGGGAUGUUAGCGUAAUAAUAGGUGACACACCACACUUUUCAGACUUUUAUUGUAAAAAAUGUUUACAAAUGUGUGAUUUUUAUUCUUUUUCACAUUAUUUACAAUUUAGUUAAUCUAAGACAUAAAAUCUCAAGAAAAUAUGUUCAGGAUUUUGGUAAUAACAGGACAGAAAGUUCAACGGGUAUGAAUACUUUUGCAAGACACUAGAAGAACAUUUUCCUGGAUUAACAAAAUUGUUGCAUUAGAAAGUAACAUUGAUUGUAGCAUGUAGGCAGUAAUAGUCAAAGGUUUGUCCAUGUCUUGUUCAUCAAUGCACAGUGAGAGCAUAACAUUUGAGGGAUACAAUCUGCUGAUGAGAAAACCACUCUUUUAUUGGUGUAUAUAUUGUGUAGUUGAAAAACAUAUAAACAGAAAAAUAAACUUAUUUUACUGCUGACUACAAUAGAGGAUUCUUUUUUUUUUUUUUUUAUCUUUCAGGCAAAUUAUUCUUGUAAUUGAACAGUCAUCGUAAAAGCCUAAACAUGAUACACAUGACCAAGUGAAAGAUUGGAUUCUAGACCUUAAAUGAGAAAAAAAAAGUAUGUAACUUUUUUUAUAUUUCAAGACAGGAGCCGGGGUUGUUUUCACAGCUUUCAUCACUUUUUGAGAUGUCUUUCAACAACAUUCCAGCAGUCAUUAGCAUUUACGAUUCGUUUGCAGUUCCUUUUUUUUUUGCCUCGGUCUUUCAUUUACGAUUUUAUGUAGUAGACUGAGUCUAGGAGUCUGUAAGCGUUAGUGCUAGGCUACUUGGAUUCCUUCUCUCAGUCACACUUUGAGGUACUAUCCUCUAAUUGUGUUUGUAAAAAUGUUGUCUUUAUUAAUACAGAUUUUGUGUUAGCUCACAAAUAAUUUGUAAAAUGUGAUACCAAUAAAUAAAGGACAAUUUAAC